rnacentral:lncRNA from 1 species
GGAAAUCAGCAGUAUAUAUAUCCUUGUAUGUUGUAGCACGCAUUCAAAACCAUUUAGGUACUCACUCCUAAAUUUUACAUUAUUAACAGAAGUGGUGAAAACUCCCCCACUUGGCCCUUGACAUCAGAUGAGCCGCAACUUGCAACUGAACACAUGAGCCCAAUUGCCAAUUUUCAAAGGCACAUCAAUUCAUCGACAAUAUCUAUGUGCAUUUGCAUAUACAACUUUUUAACCUGGUUUGUGAAUGCUUGAACUGAGACGGAGUCAUUGACACCAGCCGAGAUGGGUCUGUGAUGUACGAUUGAGCCAUAAUUGACCUUUCAGAAUAAGAUUUUUGGACUACUUAAUUGAACUUCAAUGGCUUGACAUAAUUGAGAAUAGCACAAGAAGGUGUUUAUUUUACCAAUUGGCAGGCAUAUCGGGGCCAUCGCCACGUGGUAUUCUCCUUGGGGCUGAUUUUCAGUAAUCAAAACAUUACAAGUUUGGCGAGGAGUUGGCAUCAGAAACGAAGUGUUAAAAGGGUUUUGUACAUGUGUAUCUCCAUCUGUCUCUACAACAGUCAUCAGUCAUGCUAGUGUAAGCCACUCCACACAAAAAAAAAAAAAAAAAAAAGGGAAAAAAGUACCAUUUCUGUAGCUACUUAGCUACUGCUGCAUUUGAUGAUGAUUCUUAAACAGGCAAGAUUAGUCGUUAAGUAUCACCACUUUUGGAACAGUCAUGGAGGGGACCAGGAAAGUACAGGCAUCUGAAACCGGUGGACCUCUCUUGAAUCAUUCACAUGGUUUUCCAAGUUAUGGACAUCCUGAAGCCAACGCUCACCUGCCAAAAUAACACAUCAAUAAAAGCUCAGAGAUGCUAAUAUGCCGAAAACAUGGCCAAUUUGAAAUAAGCUCCAGGAAUCCGCAACAAAUGAGAGGUAAGCAAAGAAGAUCAAGUCAAAGUUAAAUACCAGGUACAGUCACAUGCUCCUGAUUCCUGAAAGUUCUGUACAACUUUGGCCUGCUUGAAUUGGACGCUGCGUUCUGUAGGCAGGACUAUCAAGUCAGUAGUUAAUUAGCAUCUGAUCAUCAACUCCGUGUCCAUUGUAUACAAGCCCAUGUCUCAAAAAUUACUUAUGGGGACUGGGGAGGGGUACUCUCUGGUGCUAAUUGACUUAUUAAAUUACCAUCCGGUAGCGACUGCCAAUCAUUAGACUUUAGUUCAAAGCAAUUUUCCAAGUACAAAUACAUGCAAGAAGUGUUACUAGCCUCUUUUUUUUCCAAUUAAGGACUAUGUAGUUCCAUAUUAAUGCUACCACUACUAUACUAGAUAUUUGCAUCAAGCAGAUCACCUUAAAAUCAUAAUAUCUUGAGGCCAGGUAUCCAGGGCACCUCCAUUAUUGGUGAAGAACAGAAGGAACGAGAAUUCAAAUAUUUCAACUCUUUUGGACCCAUUUCGGUGAAAGUUCUAUCAUCUAAGCAUUUGUCAAACUGAACAGGAG